rnacentral:rRNA from 1 species
UCAAGUAAUUAAGUGCAUGUGGUGGAUGCCUUGGCAGUCAGAGGCGAUGAAAGACGUGAUAGCCUGCGAAAAGCUCCGGGGAGGCGGCAAAUAUCCUUUGAUCCGGAGAUGUCUGAAUGGGGGAACCCACCUACUUUAAGGUAGGUAUUGCAACAUGAAUACAUAGUGUUGCAAGGCGAACGAGGGGAAGUGAAACAUCUCAGUACCCUUAGGAAAAGAAAUCAAUUGAGAUUCCCUCAGUAGCGGCGAGCGAACGGGGAUCAGCCCAUUAAGUUAUGUGUGUUUUAGUGGAACGCUCUGGGAAGUGCGAACGUAGAGGGUGAUAUUCCCGUACACGAAAGGGCACACAUAAUGAUGACGAGUAGGGCGAGGCACGUGAAACCUUGUCUGAAUAUGGGGGGACCAUCCUCCAAGGCUAAAUACUCCUGACUGACCGAUAGUGAACCAGUACCGUGAGGGAAAGGCGAAAAGAACCCCUGUGAGGGGAGUGAAAUAGAUCCUGAAACCGCAUGCAUACAAGCAGUGGGAGCACCUUCGUGGUGUGACUGCGUACCUUUUGUAUAAUGGGUCAGCGACUUAUAUUCAGUAGCGAGGUUAACCGUAUAGGGGAGCCGUAGAGAAAUCGAGUCUUAAUAGGGCGUUUAGUUGCUGGGUAUAGACCCGAAACCAGGCGAUCUAUCCAUGAGCAGGUUGAAGGUUGGGUAACACUAACUGGAGGACCGAACCCACUGUCGUUGAAAAGCCAGGGGAUGACUUGUGGAUAGGGGUGAAAGGCUAAUCAAGCCUGGUGAUAGCUGGUUCUCCCCGAAAGCUAUUUAGGUAGCGCCUCGGACGAAUACCAUAGGGGGUAGAGCACUGUUUCGGCUAGGGGGUCAUCCCGACUUACCAAACCGAUGCAAACUCCGAAUACCUAUGAGUACUAUCCGGGAGACAGACUGCGGGUGCUAACGUCCGUAGUCAAGAGGAAAACAAUCCAGACCGCCAGCUAAGGCCCCAAAAUCAUAGUUAAGUGGGAAACGAUGUGGGAAGGCAUAGACAGCUAGGAGGUUGGCUUAGAAGCAGCCACCCUUUAAAGAAAGCGUAAUAGCUCACUAGUCGAGUCGGCCUGCGCGGAAGAUGUAACGGGGCUAAAACUAUGUGCCGAAGCUGCGGAUGUAUACUUUGUAUACGUGGUAGGGGAGCGUUCUGUAAGCCGAUGAAGGUGUGUUGAGAAGCAUGCUGGAGGUAUCAGAAGUGCGAAUGCUGACGUGAGUAACGACAAAACGGGUGAAAAACCCGUUCGCCGAAAGACCAAGGGUUCCAGUCCAACGUUAAUCGGGGCUGGGUGAGUCGACCCCUAAGGCGAGGCCGAAAGGCGUAGUCGAUGGGAAAAUGGUUAAUAUUCCAUUACUUCUGUGUAAUGCGAUGAGAGGACGGAGAAGGCUAAAUCAGCCUGGCGUUGGUUGUCCAGGUGAAAGGAUGUAGGCAUGUAUCUUAGGCAAAUCCGGGGUACUCUAUGCUGAGAUCUGAUAGCAAGCUGUACUUGUACAGCGAAGUGGUUGAUGCCAUGCUUCCAGGAAAAGUCUCUAAGCUUCAGUUACACAGGAAUCGUACCCGAAACCGACACAGGUGGUCAGGUCGAGUAGACCAAGGCGCUUGAGAGAACUCUGCUGAAGGAACUAGGCAAAAUGGUACCGUAACUUCGGGAGAAGGUACGCUGUUGUUGGUGAUGGAACUCGCUUCCUGAGCUGACGACAGCCGCAGAAACCAGGCCGCUGCAACUGUUUAUUAAAAACAUAGCACUCUGCAAACACGAAAGUGGACGUAUAGGGUGUGAUGCCUGCCCGGUGCUGGAAGGUUAAUUGAUGGGGUUAGCGUAAGCGAAGCUCUUGAUCGAAGCCCCAGUAAACGGCGGCCGUAACUAUAACGGUCCUAAGGUAGCGAAAUUCCUUGUCGGGUAAGUUCCGACCUGCACGAAUGGCAUAAUGAUGGCGGCGCUGUCUCCAGCAGAGGCUCAGUGAAAUCGAAAUCGCUGUGAAGAUGCAGUGUACCCGCGGCUAGACGGAAAGACCCCGUGAACCUUUACUGCAGCUUGACACUGAACUUUGACCUUACUUGUGUAGGAUAGGUGGGAGGCUUUGAAGCUGGAACGCUAGUUCCAGUGGAGCCGUCCUUGAAAUACCACCCUGGUAAUGUUGAGGUUCUAACUCUGUCCCGUGAUCCGGGACGAGGACCGUGUCUGGUGGGUAGUUUGACUGGGGCGGUCUCCUCCUAAAGAGUAACGGAGGAGUACGAAGGUGCGCUCAGCGUGGUCGGAAAUCACGCGUAGAGUAUAAAGGCAAAAGCGCGCUUAACUGCGAGACCCACAAGUCGAGCAGGUACGAAAGUAGGUCUUAGUGAUCCGGUGGUUCUGUAUGGAAGGGCCAUCGCUCAACGGAUAAAAGGUACUCUGGGGAUAACAGGCUGAUACCGCCCAAGAGUUCAUAUCGACGGCGGUGUUUGGCACCUCGAUGUCGGCUCAUCUCAUCCUGGGGCUGAAGCAGGUCCCAAGGGUAUGGCUGUUCGCCAUUUAAAGAGGUACGCGAGCUGGGUUUAGAACGUCGUGAGACAGUGCGGUCCCUAUCUACCGUGGGCGCUGGAAAUUUGAGAGGAUCUGCUCCUAGUACGAGAGGACCAGAGUGGACGAACCUCUGGUGUACCGGUUGUGACGCCAGUCGCAUCGCCGGGUAGCUAUGUUCGGAAGGGAUAACCGCUGAAAGCAUCUAAGCGGGAAGCCUACCUCAAGAUAAGAUUUCCCUAGGACUUUAUGUCCUCUAAAGAGCCGUUCGAGACUAGGACGUUGAUAGGUUGGAUGUGGAAGCAUAGUGAUAUGUGAAGCUGACCAAUACUAAUUGCUCGUGAGGCUUGACUAU